UACGGAGGGUGCGAGCGUUGUCCGGAAUCACUGGGCGUAAAGGGCGCGUAGGCGGCUUCUCAAGCGUGUGGUGAAAGUCCGGGGCUCAACCCCGGAUCGGCCGUGCGGACUGGGGAGCUCGAGUUCUGUAGAGGCGGGUGGAAUUCCGGGUGUAGCAGUGAAAUGCGUAGAUAUGCGGAGGAACACUGAUGGCGAAGGCAAUCCCCUGGGCCUGCACUGACGCUCAUGCACGAAAGCGUGGGGAGCAAACAGG
rnacentral:rRNA from 1 species